UCGGGAAUUUUGGGCAAUGGGCGAAAGCCUGACCCAGCAACGCCGCGUGAAGGAUGAAGUAUUUCGGUAUGUAAACUUCGAAAGAAUAGGAAGAAUAAAUGACGGUACUAUUUAUAAGGUCCGGCUAACUACGUGCCAGCAGCCGCGGUAAUACGUAGGGACCAAGCGUUAAUCGGAAUUACUGGGCGUAAAGCGUGCGCAGGCGGUUGUGUAAGUCAGAUGUGAAAUCCCCGGGCUCAACCUGGGAAUUGCAUUUGAGACUGCACGGCUAGAGUGUGUCAGAGGGGGGUAGAAUUCCACGUGUAGCAGUGAAAUGCGUAGAUAUGUGGAGGAAUACCGAUGGCGAAGGCAGCCCCCUGGGAUAACACUGACGCUCAUGCACGAAAGCGUGGGGAGCAAACAGGAUUAGAUACCCUCGUAGUCCCUGAGCGGGCUGGCAAGGCGCAU
rnacentral:rRNA from 1 species